rnacentral:rRNA from 1 species
GAUGAACGCUGGCGGCGUGCUUAACACAUGCAAGUCGAACGAGCCUUCGGGCUAGUGGCGGACGGGUGAGUAACGCGUGGGAAUCUGCCCUCAGGAGGGGGAUAACGGCCGGAAACGGCCGCUAAUACCCCAUAUGCCGAGAGGUGAAAUGAAUUUCGCCUGAGGAUGAGCCCGCGUCUGAUUAGCUAGUUGGUGUGGUAAUGGCGCACCAAGGCUUCGAUCAGUAGCUGGUCUGAGAGGAUGAUCAGCCACACUGGGACUGAGACACGGCCCAGACUCCUACGGGAGGCAGCAGUGGGGAAUUUUCCGCAAUGGGCGCAAGCCUGACGGAGCAACGCCGCGUGAGGGACGAAGGCCUCUGGGCUGUAAACCUCUUUUCUCAAGGAAGAAGACAUGACGGUACUUGAGGAAUAAGCCACGGCUAAUUCCGUGCCAGCAGCCGCGGUAAUACGGGAGUGGCAAGCGUUAUCCGGAAUUAUUGGGCGUAAAGCGUCCGCAGGCGGCCCAGCAAGUCUGUUGUUAAAAAGUGGAGCUUAACUCCAUCCAGGCAAUGGAAACUGCUGGGCUAGAGUGUGGUAGGGGCAGAGGGAAUUCCCGGUGUAGCGGUGAAAUGCGUAGAUAUCGGGAAGAACACCAGUGGCGAAGGCGCUCUGCUGGGCCAUAACUGACGCUCAUGGACGAAAGCCAGGGGAGCGAAAGGGAUUAGAUACCCCUGUAGUCCUGGCCGUAAACGAUGAACACUAGGUGUCGGGGGAAUCGACCCCCUCGGUGUCGUAGCCAACGCGUUAAGUGUUCCGCCUGGGGAGUACGCACGCAAGUGUGAAACUCAAAGGAAUUGACGGGGGCCCGCACAAGCGGUGGAGUAUGUGGUUUAAUUCGAUGCAACGCGAAGAACCUUACCAGGGUUUGACAUCCUGCGAAUCCCUUGGAAACUUGGGAGUGCCUUCGGGAGCGCAGUGACAGGUGGUGCAUGGCUGUCGUCAGCUCGUGUCGUGAGAUGUUGGGUUAAGUCCCGCAACGAGCGCAACCCACGUCUUUAGUUGCCAGCAUUUAGUUGGGCACUCUAGAGAGACCGCCGGUGAUAAACCGGAGGAAGGUGUGGAUGACGUCAAGUCAUCAUGCCCCUUACAUCCUGGGCUACACACGUACUACAAUGCUACGGACAAAGGGCAGCAAACUCGCGAGAGCUAGCAAAUCCCAUAAACCGUGGCUCAGUUCAGAUCGUAGGCUGCAACUCGCCUACGUGAAGGAGGAAUCGCUAGUAAUCGCAGGUCAGCAUACUGCGGUGAAUACGUUCCCGGGCCUUGUACACACCGCCCGUCACACCAUGGAAGUUGGCCAUGCCCGAAGUCGUUACUCCAACCCGUAAGGGAGGAGGACGCCGAAGGUGGGGCUGAUGACUGGGGUGAAGUCGUAACAAGGUAGCCGUACCGGAAGGUGCGGCUGGAUCACCUCCU